rnacentral:antisense_RNA from 1 species
AAAAGUCCUGAUGUUCAGGAGACAGCUGAGGUCUGUGGCCUCCUAAUUCCAUGGCUUCCUUUGGGACCAACUCAUUUAAUGACCCUGCCAUUUAAAUCACAUUAACUACUUUACCUAGAUUAUCUUUCGCAUCGGUAAAUUCAUUGUAAGCCAAUGGCCAGCUGUUGAACAAAGGAGAAUUGGCCACUAGAGUAUAGGCCAAUGACAGCUGGGCUGAAUCCAAACUGAGCAGUCUCCAUAAGCCAACAGAGAAUGUUUGCCUGUGAACAAUGGGGAUACAGGCAAGGCAGAGCACAGCAAGGCACAAGAUGAAGAUGGUCUGUUCAGUGGGCAAUGGCAGGGGACAGGGACUCCAGAGGCUUGUCAGCUGCAAGGCAAGCAAAGGAGAAGGAAAGAGAAGAUAUUUGGAGACAGUAACCACAUAUGAAAUAUAACAUUUGAAAAGAUUUGCAGCCUUGGGUGAUGAGAAAUGAGUCAAAAGAUCUCGAUGUCUCCAUCAGGAGAUGUGAUCAGUGACUGUAACUGGAAGAAAGGUCCCUGUUCAUCCUGCCACCUGUCAAUGCAGGGCAGGAGGGCAUCCUGCUAUCACUAAGUCUUCCCUGCUAGGGGGCAGAAAGGAGGCUCUGCAAUGGAAACCAGGACAUGGAGAAGCUGUAUUAGGUACCCAGGAUGGGAUGUUGUUCCAAAAAGUAAAGCAAUCC